rnacentral:misc_RNA from 1 species
AGCGAUGAAGCAGCGGCUGCCGUCCCACGCCGUCGCUGUCCACGCCCUCCUGUGUGUGUAGGCCUGCCUUGCAAUUUGCAAAUUGUAUACAAAAACAGAUUGCAAAGGCUAACGUUUUGGUCGGCUUCCUUCACUUGUUGGCUAGCGGGGGAAUUAAUAGAUGGAGGGCAAGGAGGAGGACGUUCGCCUGGGCGCCAACCGCUACUCGGAGCGCCAGCCAAUCGGCACGGCGGCGCAGGGCACGGAGGAGAAGGACUACAAGGAGCCUCCGCCGGCGCCGCUGUUCGAGGCGGAGGAGCUGACGUCGUGGUCCUUCUACCGGGCCGGGAUCGCCGAGUUCGUGGCCACCUUCCUGUUCCUGUACAUCAGCAUCCUGACUGUGAUGGGCGUGAGCAAGUCGUCCAGCAAGUGCGCCACCGUGGGCAUCCAGGGCAUCGCGUGGUCCUUCGGCGGCAUGAUCUUCGCGCUGGUGUACUGCACGGCGGGCAUCUCCGGCGGCCACAUCAACCCGGCCGUCACCUUCGGCCUCUUCCUGGCGCGGAAGCUGUCGCUCACGCGCGCGCUCUUCUACAUGGUCAUGCAGUGCCUGGGCGCCAUCUGCGGCGCCGGCGUCGUCAAGGGCUUCCAGGAGGGCCUCUACAUGGGCGCCGGCGGCGGCGCCAACGCCGUCAACCCCGGGUACACCAAGGGCGACGGGCUCGGGGCGGAGAUCGUCGGCACCUUCGUGCUCGUCUACACCGUCUUCUCCGCCACCGACGCCAAGCGCAGCGCCCGCGACUCCCACGUGCCCAUCCUCGCGCCGCUCCCCAUAGGCUUCGCCGUCUUCCUCGUGCACCUGGCGACCAUCCCCAUCACCGGCACCGGCAUCAACCCCGCGCGCAGCCUCGGCGCCGCCAUCGUCUACAACAGGUCCCACGCAUGGAACGACCACUGGAUCUUCUGGGUUGGCCCCUUCAUCGGUGCUGCUCUUGCCGCCAUCUACCACGUGGUCAUCAUCAGGGCCCUCCCCUUCAAGAGCCGUGACUGAUUAUACGUACAUUGUUUAUUACCAACAGCAACCAUGCAGCAUACGAAUCAUCGUUAUUAAGCUAUAUAUGUAUAAUAUCCAGCAUGUCUUGUUAAUUACUAGUAUAUGUGCUAGUAAGUGGUGCGUGCUCGCUCUUCCAUCGCUGUCGUCGUCUCAUCUGCUAUUGUUCGUCAUAUAUAUAUGUCCAUGUGAGCUAGCUAGUGUGUAUCACGCGCGGAGGCCAGUUCAGCUAGCCAUCAGUCUGCAAUGCACUUUGUGACUUCUCUGUUUAGUCCUCUCUCGCUUGGGUUUUGGUACGGUGAAGUAUAUAAACUAAGCAUGCAUAUGUGUAAAAAUUCAAAUUCAAGUGUAUGCAUGCAUGCCAAUAAUGAAAGUUAAGAAGAAGACUCCCUGUUUAUGAUAAGAUGUUGUUGUACCGAUU